rnacentral:sRNA from 1 species
GCUGGUUGUGGUGGUGCACUCCUGUAAUCCCAGCGGCUCAGGAGGCUGAGGCAGGAGGAUUGCAAGCCUCAGCAAAAGCGAGGUGCUAAUCAACUCAGUGAUACCCUGUCUCUA